GGGAAUGUAGCUUAGUGGUAGAGUGCUUGCCUAGCAUACGUGAGGCUCUAGGUUCAAUCCCUAGCACCA
rnacentral:tRNA from 1 species